rnacentral:tRNA from 1 species
CCUCUGGUAGCUCAGUUGGUAGAGCGGUGGACUGUAGAUCCAUAGGUCGCUGGUUCAAAUCCGGGCCCAGAGGA